AUACUUACCUGGCAGGGGAGAUACAAUGAUCAUGAAGGUGGUUUUCCCAGGAUGAGUCUCAUCCAUUGUACUUGCUGACCCCUGUGAUGUCCCCAAAUGUGAGAAACUUGAUUGCAUAAUUUGUGGCAGUAAGAAAGUGAGGAUAUUUUUGGUGGGGGGGGCACUUUCUCC